AUCUUUGUCUCUGCAAAGGAUGUUUCAUAAAAUGUUGCUUUUGGGAAUCUUUUGAUGCUUCAGUACUACGAGGAUAUAGCAAUUUAACCAUUUAUAAAAAUGUUCAAGAUACAACUAUAUCUUGUACUUGUGCUUGCUUACACCAAUUUAUUACAAUUCAUACAGUAAUACACCAAAAAUAAUUCUAUAAAACUGAGAGUUACUGACAAUUUUCCGUACAAAACUAUAUUUUUUAUCUAUGAAAGUAUAAUCCAAAUUCAAAUAAAACAUAUUUAAUAAUUAAGGUAGUAUUGUUAUAAAGCUUGAAAAAAAAAAUUGGUCUAUUUAAAAGUAAAACAAUAUUUUAAAAUAAUUUUUGUUUGCAAUGCAAAAAUCAAUAUAAAUCUUGUGACGCGCGGUGUUCAACUUUAGUCAGCGCCAGGCGCUUAUCGAGGGAGGACGUAUCGCUCGCUGUUGCGCCGCGCAAACUCGCCGGAGCUCGAAAAAUAUAGCGCAACCUGCGCAACGAACUCGUUUUGAUACUAGAUAAUGAAAGCAUAUUUAAUUCAGAUUAUCAGACUCAAUCGGAUACCAGUACAAAUAAUAUGGAAAAUGAAGAUACAAUACAUGGAAGACGAAUUAUAGAUUUUAGUUUUUUUAUAAAUCAAUUACUUAUUAUUAUUAA